rnacentral:rRNA from 1 species
UACGAAGGGGGCUAGCGUUGCUCGGAAUCACUGGGCGUAAAGGGUGCGUAGGCGGGUCUUUAAGUCAGAGGUGAAAUCCUGGAGCUCAACUCCAGAACUGCCUUUGAUACUGAGGGUCUUGAGUAUGACAGAGGUGAGUGGAACUGCGAGUGUAGAGGUGAAAUUCGUAGAUAUUCGCAAGAACACCAGUGGGCGAAGGCGGCUCACUGGGUCAUUACUGACGCUGAGGCACGGAAAGCGUGGGGAGCAACAGGG